ACAAGAAUAUGUUAUAAGGAGUCCAGCUGUGUAUUAAAGCUAUACCUUGACCAGGCCAAAGAACUCUCCUCUGCUGACAUGGCCACCAUGUAACCAACAUUUGGUGCCGUUCAGACUUGGAUAGACCACCGAGGACCUGCUGACUGCUGAUGCUUGCCGCCUCCUCCCCCAUCCAGCGAGACCAGGAGAUCAUGAGCGCGUGCAUGUGUGCAUCCCUCGCCUCUGCUGGACCCCCACACAGCUACCACUGCUAAUACCACCAUGAUUCUUCACCACACUUUUUUCUGUGUCACCAGCAUCUAGUCGAACAGAAAGUUCCCAGCCACAGCCAAGA